GGGCCGGCUUUAGCUCAGCGGUUACUUCGGCAGCAUUUCAGUUCGCUACCAGCUAUUCGUAGCAGGUUCGAACGCCGCAACCAACCACUUUGGUUCGAGACCCGCGGGCGCUCUCCGGUCCUUUU
rnacentral:vault_RNA from 1 species